UUUUCAUUAGCUUAAUGGUAGAGCAGGGUUUAUAUUGUGAUCCUUCGGAAGCAAUGCAAGCAAACCAGGAUCCGAGUUCAAGUCUUGGAUGAGAAU
rnacentral:tRNA from 1 species